CAUUGCUAAGAACCAAAAAUUAGAAGACUCGAGUGAUACAGUUUCUACACUAGGAUGGCUUAUUUUCUAAGAACACCAGCAACAAUCACGUUUUAUUCUAGGAUCUACAUGACAAAGAGAAAGAUCUCCGAAAGAUGCCAAAGGAAGCAACCCCUCUCCCCGAAGAACACAGAAAGUGGGUGGGGCGAAUAGCUGCUUUUGUCUCGUCUGAUCUCUGCUAGCGCUUCUCUCUCUCUUUUUAAGUUUAUUUAAUUGUUUGUUUGUUUGUUUUUGUGAUUUCUACACCCAGCUUGGGGCCUGAACUCACCACCCAGAGGUCAAGAGUCACAUGUUCUCCCAGCUGAGCCAGCCAGGCACCCCUGUGCUUCUCUGUUUGCACUUUUCACAAACUGCUGAGCCAAGCUGUGAAGUCACCUUGUCUUAUCCCUACCACACAGUGGGGAGUUCCAGAAUUUUUAUGUGAGUGGGGCUCAGCAACAGCAGUCCUAGUGGAAGCUAGGCCUGGGGUUUCGAUCUUAAUGUGAUAUAUGCAAAGCAAGCACAUUAUUUUUUCUUAUAUGUUAUAAAUUAUGUAUUCUUCCACCAGGUGUUUAUUGAAAAAAAUGUUUUGACCUAACAUGUGCCAAGAUAAGGGAAUUUAGCAAUAAAUUACUGUUUUUGAUUUAUUGUCUCUGAGCU
rnacentral:lncRNA from 12 species